rnacentral:lncRNA from 1 species
ACAUAUUAAAAAUCUAAGCAUGCUUUCUGCUGUGCUGAGUAUCAGAUAAAGAGCAAUGAACUAAACUAAUAUAGUCAUUGACUUCAAUGAGGAUGUGAUAAGGAGCUAGACCAGGAAAGAUGCAAUUUUCAUAUAUUGUGAUACAUGCUAUGAUAAGGUAAGAAUGGAGUAAUAUGGGAACAAUAAGUAAUCUUCUGGCAUGCAUUUUAAUACAUGAAUUGCUUACAUUCACUGGAAAGUGAAAGCCAUAUGGAAAUGACUGGUCUGGUACACUUACUGUUAAAAAUGAAUACAUUCACAUUCUAAGUUAUUUUGUAAGUUUGAGUAAUGUCUCAGAGACUGGUCAGCUCCAGUGAGUUCACCAUUGAGAUCUAGGGCUUGCAUGGUAGAGACACAGACCCUGGAUCAUGGGGGCUACACCAAGAUUUUUCUGAUUGCCGAAUUCAUCGGGCUAUUCUUGGUUCUUUCCCUACUUCAUAACUGAAACAUUUAACACUAUUAAUCACUCUCCCUCUUGAAAUGCUCUUCUGCCUUGGUUUUGUGACACUACUACCUCCUGGUGUUUCUGUUAGAGUUUACUAGAUGUGGUCAUUCAGCACGUAGUGUGCAUCUGUCAGUCUGCGCUGCAGAAGAGAUGGUGAAUGUCAUUUACUCUGGUAAUUCAGUUAACCUGGGUUGUCAACAGAGCUCUACUGCACUCUUAUCAUUUCAGUAUGUGAUUAACCUAAAUAUUUUAACCAUCCACUAACUCUAUCUCAUCAUUCUAAUUUAAUUCUCUCUGUGUUACUACCUGGUAUAUUUUGUUCAAUAAUUUGUUCACUUUUUAAUUGACUUUCUCCCCAUGAUGGACUAUAAUAAUCCUUGAGGGCACCUGUUCUCUCAUCCUUUCCUUGGUCCUGUAUCUUCAACUAAAGCAGCAGCAGAAACAACAACAGGAGCCUCAUAAUUUAGUACUGCAUUUUCCACUAAUUAAUUGUUUAGAUAUAUAAUUCUCACAAAACAUUCUGAAAUUUCCUAGAGUUCUGCUCUGAGACUUUCUCUGUUGCUUAAUUUCUUUUUCUCUCUCUUCAGCUGACCUCAUCUUACUCAGUGGCUUUAAAGUAUGCCAGUGAUUCUCUACUUUCUCUACUUUAUAUCUCUAAUAUAGACAUUUCUACUGGUCUCCCAACAUUUUUUUUGUAACUGCCUAUUUAGCACAGACUCUUAGAUACAAUAAAGAUGCUUCAAACUAAAACACUUCCCAACCGGAACACUUGGUUGAUUUCUCCCCCAAUUCUACUACUUCCCUUAAAUCUAGUACUUCCUCAGUCUUCACCAUGUAAUUACUGUCUACCCAGCUAUUACAGCCAGAAAUUUAAGAAUCAUAUUUUAUACUUUCUGUGCCCUCCAAUCUGUCAGUAAGUCCCAUUAAUAUAUAUACCUCAAACCCAUCAACUUUUCUUUAUCUAUACUACCACUUCUCCAGACUAUCAUCAUAUUUUGACUCUUAACCAUUUCCCAAUAUCUGCUCAAAAAACCUACAGAUUACAUGAUGACAUACCUAUCUAUAUAUAGAUAGAUCGGUAGACAUUGAGAGAAUGUGGGU